rnacentral:misc_RNA from 1 species
GAACUGAAGGGCAAUAUCCG